AGUAUAUGAGGUUAACUAUUGAUUGCCAAGUAUUAAGUGAUGCAUGCAAAUGAAUGUAUUAAUGAAUGAUGCAGGGAUGAAUGGAAAGAAUUUCAAAAGACUAUUCAAGAAGACUUGCAGGAAGUAGAUUAUCGCCUGGAAGAAGAAGAGUUUGAUGCUGCUGAGGUGAGAGAGGAGAUGGAACUUAUAGAGCAGAGGGCAUAUGUGGAGCGUGUAGAAAUGUUGAAAAAGAAGCAGCAGGAACUAUCCAUGUUGAAAGUUUCCACACAAGUGAAAUCUCCCUCGUACAUGGGGGCAGAAAGUAGUGAUGUUUCUUCGAGUGAUGAUGAUGGUGAAAAUGAAGACAACUACUUGAUUGAUUGGAGAGCUAAGCGCUUCUAGAACAUAAAUUUUAAAGUGAACAGUCAAGUUUGUUGGGGGUAGAUGUUUGUAACCUGAUGCAUAGAUAGAAUUACAUGAUUAAUUAUAUUUUGUAAUUCUUUUUACUUUUUUUAUUUAAAUAAUUUGUCCAUGCUUUCCUUUGUUAGAUUCAAUUAUUCAAUUUUAUAAAAGAUUAAUUAGUGUA